rnacentral:rRNA from 1 species
GACAGAGGUGCCGAGCGUUAGGCGGAAUCACUGGGCUUAGAGCGUGUGUAGGCGGCCUUCUAAGUGAGAUGUGAAAUUCCCAGGCUUAACUUGGGAACUGCGUCUGAUACUGGGAGGCUUGAGUGCGGGAGAGGGAUGUGGAAUUCCAGGUGUAGCGGUGAAAUGCGUAGAUAUCUGGAGGAACACCGGUGGCGAAGGCGGCAUCCUGGACCGACACUGACGCUGAGGCGCGAAAGCUAGGGGAGCAAACGGG